GAGCAUGUAGGAGGCACCCACAGAGCUGUGCCGAGCACAUGGACAGCGAGUGCACGCUGCUGGCAGAAGCAGGGAGGAUACUUUGUAAGCCAGCUGCGGGUCAUCACGGAUCCUGGACAACCACUGGGAAUCACAGGCAAAGAGCAGCAUUACCGGCAGUCCUUACACCUGAGGGAGACCUUACCAAAGGCUGCAUUUCCGGGGCCAUUGCCAGUUCAGCAAACCUCGAGGGAGCCUUGCUUGCAGAGAGUCAUGCUGUGGCAAACGCUGCGUGAAACCCUGGAAGGAGGAAUUAGAACGGCAACCUUUUCGUGGAAUGUGGACAAGGUCUGAGGAAUGCAGGAUCGGUCGCUGCAGUGCUCCUAGGAGAGGUUUCUGCCCAGCACUCACCGCGUUAUGCCCGAUGUGCUCCAAGGGGAUGGCCAUUCAAUAAGGAGCGACGCGGGGGUGUGAAAGAGAAGCAAGGCUCCCAUCUUGCUCCUCUCACACUCUCUAUUCAGGCCGCUUCUCUUUUCACCGUGAAUAAAAACCAUUAUGUCUC